GGAAGAGGAGGGAUUGGUCUGUUCACUUUCUCAGAAGGUAAAAUUAGGAUCAUCUCCUUCCUUAUGUCUUUCAAGUAUGGGUGCUGGUUCUCCAGAGCAGCAGCUGUUCAACGCCAGCACAAACCUAGCAUGCUUUACUGUUUGUCUUCCACUUGUUUCUUCGGUUAAGGAGAGUCAAGUCAGGAUAGGAAUUAAAAAGCUUCUGGUCACUGCACGGCUGCAGAUGAGAUUCAAUUUCAUUAACACCAACUGCCAUUUAGACUGUCUCAAGACAUCUGAAAAAAGAGCAGCACAUUUGCUGAUGUGACACAGAAUUUAGAGAACACCCAUGUUUAUAUGAAUUAACAGCUGGAGCUUCUGUAAGGUAUGCUAUGUCUAUACAAUAGCUCAGGUUUAAGCCUAAAGGCAGUUUUUUGGACAGUGCUCUCUAGUAUGACAAUGCUAUCAUUCUUUUUCUCUAAUACAAAGCUGCCCAGAGACAACAAAUUGUUAUGACACUCUUCUUGUGCCUUUUUGGAUGAAGAGAGAGAUGUUCAGACACAAACAAAGGUAACUUUCAUAUUGAUUCCUUAUUUAGGACUUCAAUUCUACAUGUAGGUCCACUUUGCCAUUCAGUUUA
rnacentral:lncRNA from 1 species